AUUGAACGCUGGCGGAAUGUUUUACACAUGCAAGUCGAACGGUAGAGGGGGCAACCCCUCGAGAGUGGCGAACGGGUGAGUAAUAUAUCGGAACGUGCCCAGGCGUGGGGGAUAACGUGGCGAAAGUUACGCUAAUACCGCAUACGAUCUAAGGAUGAAAGAGGGGGAUCGCAAGACCUCGCGCGAUUGGAGCGGCCGAUAUCAGAUUAGGUAGUUGGUGGGGUAAAGGCUCACAAAGCCAACGAUCUGUAGCUGGUCUGAGAGGACGACCAGCCACAGUGGAACUGAGACACGGUCCAGACUCCUACGGGAGGCAGCAGUGGGGAAUUUUGGACAAUGGACGCAAGUCUGAUCCAGCCAUUCCGCGUGCAGGAUGAAGGCCCUCGGGUUGUAAACUGCUUUUGUACGGAACGAAAAGGUCUCUCUUAAUACGGGGGACUCAUGACGGUACCGUAAGAAUAAGCACCGGCUAACUACGUGCCAGCCGCCGCCGUAACAC
rnacentral:rRNA from 1 species